CAGCUGCGGUACUAGGACGAUCCACGUAUCGCUUGGCAACCGAACAUCGUCCCUCAGUUCAGCGGCGCUCUCUCACUGUCUGCCACGCACACAGCGCUUCAUACAAUGAUUCCUCCACCCGGAAGAUGAGACAAGCCUACAGGAGCCGCAUCACACCGCCGCUUUAAAAGGCCGCGGAAGGCGAGCACGACUAUCCGGGCCAAGUUCACUGGCGCGACAGCAAACAGGUGUAAAGGAAGGACCGGUUCUCCGACCCCUUCGUCCAGGUGAUACCGACGCUUUAUUCCCUGAUGUUUACCUGAGAACUUUCGGCCUGUCGCCUGGAGUUUGAGGGACGUCAGCACUCACUGGCGGAAGGAGAAAUUUUAAAUGCGCAAGAAGAGCUUCCAGGCUGUGUCAGGCAGAGGUAUAUCAGGAUAAUCGAUUUCUUCCAGGUCAUCAGAGUCAUCUCAGCUGGACCGGCUGCGGGAGGUCGUCG